AGCGAACGCUGGCGGCAGGCCUAACACAUGCAAGUCGAACGAAGUCUUCGGACUUAGUGGCGGACGGGUGAGUAACACGUGGGAACGUGCCUUUAGGUUCGGAAUAACUCAGGGAAACUUGUGCUAAUACCGAAUGUGCCCUUCGGGGGAAAGAUUUAUCGCCUUUAGAGCGGCCCGCGUCUGAUUAGCUAGUUGGUGAGGUAAAGGCUCACCAAGGCGACGAUCAGUAGCUGGUCUGAGAGGAUGAUCAGCCACAUCGGGACUGAGACACGGCCCAAACGCCUACGGGAGGCAGCAGUGGGGAAUCUUGCGCAAUGGGCGAAAGCCUGACGCAGCCAUGCCGCGUGAAUGAUGAAGGUCUUAGGAUUGUAAAAUUCUUUCACCGGGGACGAUAAUGACGGUACCCGGAGAAGAAGCCCCGGCUAACUUCGUGCCAGCCGCCGCGGUAACAC
rnacentral:rRNA from 1 species